ensembl:lncRNA
GUGGUGGUGGCUGGGGGUGGCUGGCACCCCUUGCUCGCAUCUGGCCAAACCAGAGGCCCAUCAGUGCCUGCUCUGCUCUUGUUUCUGGGGAGUGUUCUUGAGGCCUGUCAUCUUGGCAGGGCCCUCUUCUUGGACAAGUGCUGAGUUCUGGGUUAGGCUGGGGUGGGAGACCAGCUUCUAUCGCUGGGCACAGAAAGGCCAGGCCCACCCUGGGAAGGAUGAUAAGUAGAAAAACACAUAGAAUUGAGAAUGGCUGGACAAGGCCCCAUGGGGGUCCGUGAGCUCCAGGCCUGGAUGACGGCACCCCUGAAGCCAGAGGAAGAUAAGGGCCUGCGGAAGCCUUUACUGCUCUUUCCUGAGUUGUGCUGGGGGUUCCGUGAUGAGAAAGCCACAGUCUCCUCCUGGCCCUUUUCGUUCCCAUGGUUGCCUAGAAUGGCUGAGAAGAAAUGUCCCUGAGGAAGUGACAGUAAUUGCCUGACUGUAGAGAGCAUGUGUCCUCCGAGAUUCUCAAAUCAUUUCCAUUUGCAAAUGUUCACACUCAGGACCAAAUUGAGCAUCGUGCGAAACUACCGAGAAGGACUGCUCUAGAGCAUGAGACCCGUCGCCAUGCCCUGGGGAGUCCUCCAAGGGUAGGAAGCAUGGCCUUGCCCCUUCCUGGACUGGAGAGAACUCUGUGCCCUGGAGGGGCCCUGAAUCCCUAAAAACUCAAUACUGAGAUGCUGGAGACUGCACACCUUGAAAUUUUCCCCAAAUGGUGGGUCAGACGGGACACCUAUAACAAACUGCCCUUCACCAGGUCAGGAGAAGAUGGAUCUGAAUUCCUAACUAGGCUUCUCAGGAAGGAGAGGAUUGGGGCGUGAGGUGAAAAGACUCUUCAAAACAUGCUGCUGGACCAGCGAGGGAAGAGUCCAAGCAGCGGUCCAGCCGAGGCUCCAGAGGUGGCAAAACUGAGGUUCACAGAGGCAAUGUACCCAAGGCUGUAUAACUAAGAGG